rnacentral:misc_RNA from 1 species
AAAAAAGAAAGAAGAAGAAGAAGAUGUAUCCCACAAUGAGGUAAAGAAUAAUAAAACAAUUUAUCUGUGCAUAUUUAAAUGCAUAACAAAGAUUUUAUCCAUUGCAAAAUGGGCUAAUAGUAAAAAAUAUCCUGAACUUUGUACAAAUUUUCAAAUUUAUCCUAUUCUUUCAAUUUUAUCAAUUUUAGCCUAAACUAUAACAUUGAUAACUAUUUUCUCCAAUUUAGUGGAAUAGAAUUGAAUAGUACAUAUGUGUGUGUGUAUGCAAUAACUAAUAAGUAAAUAUUUUUUAAAAAUUAUUUCCUUCAUAAAAAAUUGAUAUCUUUUAUUUAUCAAUUACUAGGAAAAAUUAAAAUAGUUAUUUUUUGAAUGAAAAAAUAAAGCAGAAAAUAUUUUAUGUUUACUAGCAUUACAAAUAAAUAAAACAUAUAAUUUAUUAUUCUGAUUAAUAUAGUUGCAAAGGGUUUAUCUGUACAUUUUUGUUUCCUCUUGCUAAAAUGGAUAAUAUGUUACUAAUAUUAUAAUUUAGGUUAUAAUCGAUCAAAAAUAAAAAGAAUAUGAAAUAUUUCAAAGAAAGUGCUAAGUUCAGGAUUUUUAGGUUAUUGGGCCUUUAUUUAUUUAUAUGACCCAUUGUUUUCAACAUCUAACAACAUAAUAUAACUUAAUGGCAACAUUCUAUUAAAUACAUUAUUUUUAGUUUAAAUUUGUGUAUGUAUAAGUUUUAAACAACUAAACAAAAACAAAUGAGUAUGUUCAUGAAAAUAAUCGAGCCAAGUUUAACUUCAUUUGUAUUCAUUCAUUUACCAAUUGAGCUCAAAUUUUUUGUUCAAAUUUGUUCAUUUAACUCAUUAAAACAGCAUAAACUUUUACCGAGCUUGUUUACAAGCUAUUCACCAAUUGUUCAAGUACGAUGACACACCUAACAGGUUUAAGCAAAUGAUGAGAGAGAAUGGUGAUAGGAAGUUUCUUUUAUGCAUAUCAAAUAGACAAAUAAAUAAUAUUGCAAUAUAAAUUAUAAGGUAUUUCUUCCACAAUAUCAGGGAGGGAGCACAAAGUCAAAUGGAUUCUUCCUUUGUAAGUUCCUGCAGAAUUAUUUCAAUGUAAGUAUGUAACAGCCUCCUAGUUAAGGAACUUAAACAAAGGAGAACCAAUUCCUAAAUCUGAAUUAAAAUUCAAACAGAGCCCACUCCAUUCCCACAAGAUUUGUAACUGUAAGCAUUAACCCAUAUCAAUCAGAGCUAUGUGUUAAGUUAUAUUACUUUAAACCAUCUUAUGCACAGAUUAGAAGGCAGUUAUAGAAAGCACGUUUCAAAAGCUGUAACAGAACCAAAUGCAUAUACGGAGUCCUCAAAUUCAGAUGUUAACUCAGGGUGUGGUGGACAGCAUAUUAUUCAAUAUAUUUGAUAAAUUACGAAAAAUCCAAUGCAUGAUUCGCUUCAAUACUGAUUUUAGAUGUGUAGAUACAGUUUCCAUUAAAAAAUAAAACAUAAUAAACAUUGGUUUUAUUGAUAUAUAGAUACUGGUUUUAUAAAAAGAUCAGGCACCAUAAACAUUGAUUUUAUUGAUAUAUAACCAGUGACAAAAACCUAUGCUGAAUUAGGCCUGAUAAAACAAAUUAAAGAAAAAAUGAUCCAAACCUUUGUUGGGCUUCCAGUAAACCAAAUUCAAGGCAGAUCCGACAUCAAAAUGAGCCAAUUUUAUAAAUAUCAGUCAUAAAUAAAAAUUCAAGCAAUGUUAGAACAAAUAAUGCAAAACAAAAUAAUCACAGACCUUUAAGAAACCAAGGCACAAGUCAAGAUGAAUCAAAAAGCAUCAAGAGGGCCAAUUCCACUAUAGCUUGGAAUCAGUUUCCUUGAAAUUAAUAAAUCACAAGUAAUUCCAGGUCAAAAAAGAUGUAGAACACACCUCAGAUGCAACAUAAACAAAA